GAGUCUCUCGCGAAUGUGAUAGUAAUUGAUGGUUUCGAGGCGUAAGCUUCGAGGUCGUCCUUUCUAACGAGCGGUGUAACGGUUGAGGCUGGCAACAGAGCAGAUUAAGUCGCCGCUAUCGCAGGUCAAGAGAACA
rnacentral:SRP_RNA from 15 species